rnacentral:rRNA from 1 species
ACGGUCUCAGUUCAGAUUGCAGGCUGCAACUCGCCUGCAUGAAGUCGGAAUUGCUAGUAAUCGUAGGUCAGCAUACUACGGUGAAUACGUUCCCGGGCCUUGUACACACCGCCCGUCAAACCAUGAGAGUUGGCAACACCCGAAGUCGGUAGUCUAACCGCAAGGAGGACGCCGCCGAAGGUGGGGUCGAUGAUUAGGGUUAAGUCGUAACAAGGUAAC